CCCCAUUGAAGGUUUUUUGGUGAUCAAAGGGAACUUAUCCUUCCUUUUUAAUCAGCAGAAAAACUGGUUGAAUUCAACCCACUGGAUCAAGGAGGCUACAAGCCGCAGCCAUGCACAACUGAGGAGGACUAUUUCUUCCAGUGGCCCCAAAGGGAGAUGAGGAUGCGGGCCUUGAGGAGAGGCAGUGAGAGGAAGAGGAGGAGGAAAAAGAUCUUGCUUGAUGUGCAUUCCAUGAGAAACUGGGGUGUCUGACCUUUUCUUGUCCUCCGUGUGACAGCCAGAUCACAGAUCACACUUGAAUGAUUUACAAGUCUCUCUCUCUGCAGCAACUCCCUCCUUCCAUUGUAAUACUGAUUAUAAAUAUCCUUGCAGAGUGAUGAUACUUUGCAGGCAUCUAAUGUUUUAGAUUAACAUUUGGUACCCAAGUUGACAUUUUGUGGAUAAUGACAUGUAUUACCUAUGACAUUUCAAGAUUAUAAAAUCCUAUGAAACA